AACGAACGCUGGCGGCAUGCCUUACACAUGCAAGUCGAACGGCAGCACGGGAGCAAUCCUGGUGGCGAGUGGCGAACGGGUGAGUAAUAUAUCGGAACGUGCCCAGUCGUGGGGGAUAACGCAGCGAAAGCUGUGCUAAUACCGCAUACGAUCUAAGGAUGAAAGCGGGGGAUCGCAAGACCUCGCGCGAUUGGAGCGGCCGAUAUCAGAGUAGCUAGUUGGUGGGGUAAAGGCCCACCAAGGCGACGAUCUGUAGCGGGUAUGAGAGGACGACCAGCCACAAGUGAACUGAUACACGGUCCAGACUCCUACGGGAGGCAGCAGUGGAGAAUUUUUGACAAUGGGCGCAAGCCUGAUCCAGCAAUGCCGCGUGCAGGAUGAAGGCCUUCGGGUUGUAAACUGCUUUUGUACGGAACGAAACGGCCCUUUCUAAUACAGGGGGCUAAUGACGGUACCGUAAGAAUAAGCACCGGCUAACUACGUGCCAGCCGCCGCGGUAA
rnacentral:rRNA from 1 species